rnacentral:lncRNA from 1 species
AGACCCCAUGCACAUAUGUAGCAGUUUGGUCUCCAGAAGUGUAGCUUCUCCCUGAAUCCUCUGUGGAGCCCGUUUCUCUAAAAGGACUGCUUGUUUGACCUCAGUGGGAGAGGUUUUGCCUAGUUCUGCAGUGGCCUGAUGAGCCGGAGUCUCUUAGAAAUUUCAAGACUGCUGGUGCACCUUCACCCAUGAGUGUAGACACACCCUUCUCACAUGAAUGGAUGGAUCAGUGCUCAGGAAGGUAAGAUGAACACUCGGGCUCACGUGUGUCCCUAGGCGAAUGCCUGUUACACAACAUAGUCCAGGAGACACAUGAAAUAAAAGAUGUGGGAAUCAAGGCUGGAACGGU